rnacentral:rRNA from 1 species
UACGAAGGGGGCUAGCGUUGCUCGGAAUCACUGGGCGUAAAGGGUGCGUAGGCGGGUCUUUAAGUCAGGGGUGAAAUCCUGGAGCUCAACUCCAGAACUGCCUUUGAUACUGAGGAUCUUGAGUUCGGGAGAGGUGAGUGGAACUGCAAGUGUAGAGGUGAAAUUCGUAGAUAUUCGCAAGAACACCAGUGGCGAAGGCGGCUCACUGGCCCGAUACUGACGCUGAGGCACGAAAGCGUGGGGAGCAAACAGG